rnacentral:lncRNA from 10 species
GGGCCAUACUGACCAGAAUGCACCUGAGGGCGUUUUUAGAGGCAGUACCCUGGAGAGAAUUCAGGCCCUGGAGUCCAGCGGACCUAGACUGGAAUCUUGGCUGAGUCACUCCCUGGCUGUCCACUCAACCUCUCUGAGCCUCAGUUUUCUGAUCUGCAUUUGUCUUGUAUUUCAUGGCAUUAUUGGAAUUAAAAUUAACAUACAAUUCUUGACAGAUUGGAAGAGGAUGUGAAGGGAGAUCUUGACAUUAUCAGGUCCGUAUGAUAUGGCGCCUGGCAUAGAGCAAAUGUUUAAUAAAUGGUAGCUGUUAUUACCAGCUGAGAAACAAUAGGCAAUAUACUUAGCCUCUCUGAGCCUUAGUUUUAGAACCUGAAAUGAAAUUCAGAGCGCCCAGCACAUAGGUUUUCUGUAACUAUAGGUUCAGUCGUUGUCCAGAAACAUUUCUAGAGUCCGUCCGGAGUUGGAUUGAUGCCAGCUCUUAAAAACUAUGAAGGCAGGAUCAGUGGCCACAUUUAAACGGUUUCCCUGGGUGAGGAAACACACUCUCCACUCCCUAAUGUUAACACGUAGCGAGAGCCAGUAUUGAUAGGAGACCAUUAUGGUGUAGCCCAAACUCUAACGCCAAGGGGUUCAGUGUUUUCUGCUUCUAAUACUGGUCACAGAAAACUUGUGAGUCCGGUAAGCAAAAUCCUACAAAGGGAAAUUAUGGAAACACCUUUAUUUCUUUCAGCGAACACUGCCUGACUUCAGCUGGGUCAAACCAUGGGGGAAUCCAGAUUUGAAUAUUUCAAGGUCUCUGCCCUUGCAGAAUCAGACAGAAACAAGUGACAACAUCGUAGUUAAGUGUGAAAACAGUAUGUUCAGAGAACGGUACAGAUAUGUUAGAAAGUUGGCUUUAGUCAUUAAACCUUAAGUAGAUGUGAUUUUUUUAAAGUUAAUGAGAUUCAUGAGUUUAUUUUCUUGUCAGAAGCACCAACAGACAAACCUAUACAUUUUUGGUGUGUGUUUUUCUGUUUUUUAAUCACAGUGCUUUUAUUAUAGAUUAUCUUCAGAAGUUAGUGCAGGUGGCAUGUGGAAGAUAAACAGGACAGACACUCAACCCUGCCUAGUUUGGGGAUGAGUCACUUUUCAAACUGCACAGUUAUAAGCAAAGUGCAUAUUCAAGAACCAAGUUAACAGGCCACCAGCAGACACCCAGGAAUUCCCAAAGGGACACAUAUAUCCCAUAAACUGCACUGCAAGAUAAUAUAUUCUCAUUGGCUCUGCAUGUCAGCAGGCCUGGGUUUGAAUCUCUGCAGUCUUUCUCCAUCCAGUUCUGUGGCCUUGGGCAAGUUAUGAAACCUCUCACUGACUCAGUGCCGUCAUUUGGACAGCUUUUUUCUUUUUUAUAUUUGUAUUUUCAAAACCUAGAAUUAGUAUGUGCUACUUUUAUGAUGGAAAAACAAAUUCCAUUCUUAAUGCAAUAUACCUCAACAAUGUGAAAACAACUUUAAUAAUUAUUAAUAUUUUUAUUUUGCUUAAAAAGAUUUGUGGGACCCCCUAGAAUGGCCUCAAAGGAAGGAUAACCUGAGCUGCUUUUUACCGAAAUCACGGAAAAUGGCAGCUCUCUGAUGCUUUAAGGUUUUCAAGUAUAGAUUUCAGGACCUCAAUAAGGUACCCAUCCCAAUUUUUAAUCUCUCUUAAUAAUGCAGAGAUUUACUCACAUCCACCAUAAUGCUUCUGGCCUCAGUUUAAGCCAUUUCCUCUAUUAUUUCCUCUGUGAAAGAAGGAAAAGAACCUUUAAAAUGUAUUUUAACAUCAAAAUGCUGAGCGGGUGGUGUGCCCAAGUGAUGAGAGCGGUGAAUGGGUUAUUUCUUUGUUUCCCAUGAUUUAUAAUAAAAACAUCAACUUACACCCUACCCUAAAUGACUUUUCUUCCUCUAAUAACUAAAUGUGAAGUUGGUUUUUGGUUUUUUAUUUUUUUGAGAUGGAUUCUCACUCUGUCGCCCAGCCUGGAGUGCAGUGGUGUGAUCUCAGCUCACUGCAACCUCUGCCACCCGGGUUCAGGCAAUUCUCCUGCCUCAGCCUCCCAAGUAGCUGGGAUUACAGGUGCCUGCCAUCGGGCCCAGCUAAUUUUUGUAUUUUUAGUAAAGGUGGGGUUUCACCAUGUUGGCCAGGCUGGUCUUGAACUCCUGACCUCAUGAUCCACCUAACUUCAGCCUCCCAAAAUGCUGGGAUUACAGGUGAGGGCCACCGUGCCCAGCCGAAAUGUUGAUUGUUUUAAGUCACUAGAUUUUGAGGUAAUUCGUUUCACAGCAAUUGACAACUAAUAAAGACAGUGUCUCCCCUUCUGAGUGGUGCUUACCUUUUGUGAAGCCUGUUAAAAAGCAAUGGACUCUCUUUUUAAGAGUGAGCAGCAGCAAGAUUUAUUGUGAAGAGCGAAAGAACAAAGCUUCCACAGCGUGGAAGGGGACCAGAGUGGGUUGCCCUAUCCCUUUAUUCUUGCAGGUCACAUUUCUCUGGACCCAUUUUAAUUGCAAUUCCUGAGUGACCCAUUGUGUAUUAGGUCCCAGCAAAAACACAAAGACAAGCUCACUGACUCCGAGGGCCCCUGGUCUAAUGGGAUCUUAGAGAUGGAAAUAAAUAACUGUACACAUUAUUAAAACCUAUUAUCUUAGGUCCUUUUGGACAAGGAGGCAGCAACAAACUCCGAGAGGGCAGCCUUCACAGAGGAGCUAAUACUUUAGCUGGGCCUUGAAAGCCCAAAGGAAAGAGGGUGGCUCAGGUGAAUUCUGGGUAG